rnacentral:tRNA from 1 species
UGUCCAGGGAAUAGGAAUCGAACCCACAGUGUUCCGCUUACCGGGCAGAUGCCAUGUCCACUAGGCUACCCUGGAC